rnacentral:lncRNA from 1 species
GUAACUCAGGAGGCUUAGGAGAAAUGAGAUCCCCAAGUUAUGUGGGAAUUCUGUCUAUAUCCCCUACGAGAUUGUGAUUGAGAGGUGGGACUAACUGCGCCUUACUCACUAUGGGGUUCACUCUACCGUUAUAUUCAACUGGCUCCCAAUUUCCUUGAUAAAAGAUUUUUGAACUACCAGAUGCAUGGAACUAUUCCAGGAACAAUGAAACAAGAUUUGAUAUGUAUCUCCAAACCAAAACAAGCUUAGAGUUUAAAUAUUUCAGGUAAAUCUACUUUUUCUACUUAAAUUACCCAAAUUAUCACAUCAAAUGUUCACUUAUA